AGAGACAAAAUUUGUUCCUUAUAAUAGGAAAUUAGUUGCUUGUAGAAAUAUUAUAAGAUAUUAUAAUAAUAUAAAUUUCUACCUGCCAUGACAAAGGCAUAAUGAAUCUGGAAUAUCAUCCCCGAUUAGAUCCCUCGCCUAUGAGCCUAUUGAUAAAAAAAAUAAUAAUAAUAUAAAAUUUCCAUUAUAAAUUUCCAUCAACGGAUUCAUUGUUAUAUGCCGUUUUCCACCGUCUCCUGCCUUCCGUCCAAUCUCUCCGCCGACAUAAUAUGAGAAACGCCGUCAGCAAACAGUUUUAUCUUCAGAACCCUUUAAUUUUCGCCCUUGUAUUUCUCUCCUUGUUGUUCCGCCACACUCUCCUUAUCUCUGGAAACUCACCAUCUCCUCUAAUCGACGGCAUAGCUCUUGAUUGUGGCUCGACCAGCAAUACUGUUGCAACAGAUGGUAGAAACUGGACUGCAGACGCCAAUUCGAAAUUCUUCCUUCUAGAUCCAACCAACGCAUCAAAAAUAUCCUCAGCUCUUAAAUCUCCUAUGAAUAGUGAUGCUGUACCUUAUAUAACAGCACGCCUCUCUCGCUCUGAAUUCACCUACAUAUUUCCUGUGACCUUUGGGCCAAAAUUUAUUCGUCUCUACUUUUUUCCAUCUUCCUACUCUGAUUUCAAUAGCUCUAUAGGUUAUUUUUCUGUCAAAGCCAAUCGCUACACCCUUCUUAGCAAUUUCAGCUUUGCAAGUAAUGCUCAGGCUCCUGGCUUAGACGGGUUUGCUCGAGAGUACUGCUUAAAUGUUGAAGAUGGUCAAAUGUUGAACAUAACGUUCGCUCCGACUCUUGGUUUGAACGAUGCUUAUGCUUUCGUCAAUGGGAUUGAAAUCGUAUCCAUGCCAACCAAUCUUUAUUACACAGAAGACGGUGAUCUUGGGGUCAAAUUUGUUGGCUUGAACAACCUAAGCAGCCUCAAAAGCAACACUGCUUUGGAGCUGAUGUACAGAAUAAAUGUGGGGGGCAACUUCAUCUCAACCCUAGACGACACUGGAAUGUUUCGAAGCUGGAAUAGCGAUAACGAUUAUUUAACUAUAGCAAAACCAAGUGCACUUCUUUAUAACGGCACCAUUCAAUUUACAUACAGCGACAAUAGGACUCGUUACGCUGCGCCCGAUUCAUUAUAUCGAACUGCAAGGUCGAUGGGAAUGGACAAGGAGACCAAUGAAAACUACAAUCUCACAUGGGGCUUUCAGGCGGAUACUAAGUUCACUUACCUUGUUAGGCUUCAUUUUUGUGAAUUUCAACCGCCAAUCACUCAAAGGGGAGACAGAGUGUUUUUGAUAUACGUAGCUACUCAAAUUGCGGAGUCUGAAGCUGAUGUAAUUGAAUGGAGUGGUGGAAACGGCUUUCCUGUCUUCAAAGAUUAUGCGGUGACGAUUGAACCAGAGGGAGACGAAAGGGUACAAAAUAUCCCUAUCGCACUGCAUCCCAGGCCUGAAAUAAGUGUUUACUCUGAUGCCAUUCUGAAUGGGCUUGAAAUCUUCAAAUUGAGUAAUGUAGAUAAUCUUGCGGCACCAAAUCCUGACAUACCUCCAAUUAAUCCACCAACUGCAGCAACUCCCAGUCCCAAAUCAACAAAAUCGAACAAUAAUCGGACAACAAUAGGUGCCAUUGUUGGUGGUGCUGUAUCGGGCUUUGUGGUACUGUCUUUCCUGUUGUUCGUGAUUUUCCGGCGAAGACUAAAAGUCAAGGACUCGGGUUCUAGUGAUGCAGCUUCAUGGUGGGGUCCAUUUUCGGUAUCUUCGACCAAGUCUGCAAAGACCCAGGCCUCAACUCUACCUUCUGAUCUUUGUCGCCGCUUUUCACUGGCCGAGAUUAAAGAGGCCAGCAACAACUUUGACAGUGUAUUCAUUAUCGGGGGCGGAGGAUUUGGUAAUGUGUACAAAGGGCUGAUUAAUGAUGGGGCCACCACCGUUGCGAUCAAAAGAUUGAAUGAAGGGUCGCAACAAGGGGCAAACGAGUUCAAGACGGAAAUUGAGAUGCUAUCCCAACUUCGAUAUCUUCAUUUAGUGUCGCUAAUUGGUUAUUGCUACGAAGAAAAUGAGAUGGUCCUAGUUUAUGAUUACAUGGCUCGGGGAACCCUUCGCGAUCACCUCUACAAGACCGACAAUCCUCCACUUUCAUGGAAUCAACGGCUAGAGAUUUGCAUUGGUGCAGCACGCGGGUUGCAGUACCUUCAUUCAGGCGCCAAGAACACCAUAAUUCACCGUGAUGUGAAGACAACAAAUAUCUUGUUAGAUGAGAAAUGGGUUGCCAAGGUUUCAGAUUUUGGAUUGUCCAAAAUAGGUCCUACUAGCAUGUCAAAGCCGCACAUCAGCACAGUGGUGAAAGGCAGUUUCGGCUACUUGGAUCCUGAAUAUUACCGACUUCAGAGAUUGACAGAAAAAUCUGAUGUCUACUCAUUUGGGGUUGUACUGUGUGAAGUGUUAUCUGCAAGACCCCCAGUGAAUCGAUCAGCUAUUAACAAACCUGCAAGCUUAGCAGAGUGGGCUAGACAAUGCUACCGCAAUGGGACAUUUGAUGACAUAAUUGAUCCAUAUCUACAAGGAAAGAUUGCACCCGAUUGCCUGAGAAAAUUCGCUGAGGUUGCAAUCGGUUGCUUGCUCGACAAUGGAGUGGAAAGACCAUCAAUGAGCGAUGUGGUUUGGGGUCUUGAGUUUGCAUUACAACUACAGGAAACUGCUAUCAAGCAGUGCGAACUUCCCAUCAAAAUUGACAAUGAUAUGGAGAGCCCCCUAAAGGGUACCUCAGUUAUUGAUAGCAGCGAUGAUAUGUUCAGUAGUGGCAGUGGGCUUAUGAUAGGUUCCCGGCUUAGUGGAAUGACAUUUACAAGCAGCAACGAUGAGCAAAGUUUUCUCAGCAACAAUUCUGAGAAUGUAAAGUCUGGUGCUAUAUUUUCUGAGAUCACCAACCCAACAGGGCGAUAAGAAACGUUCUAUUUUGGUUGCUAUAAGUUAGUGUAAUAUGUAGAGCCUUGAGAUAAGCUUUUCCAUGUUUGUAGCUCAUGAUGUGUCUGCUGUAAGAGUUUGCUUGUUAAAUUUCAUUUUGAUAAUUUUCUUCUGUAUUACUUUCUUCCUCUAUAUUACAUUUUUUUAAAUUGCCUGAUGUGCCAUUAAGGGAGCAUUCUUCGAUA
rnacentral:misc_RNA from 1 species